CUCAUUUUAGUAACUGCUGCCAGAAGCUGAGAAGACGCGCGAACCAGCCACGAAAUCCACUAGUGGAUGUGCAUGCUGUCAUGUAUUCAAAGCUGAACGCUCCUAUCUAUAUAUAUCUCUUGUACUAGACAAUGAAAGGACACAUCUUGCUUGGUUAAAAUUCAGAAUACACAAACUCGUGGAGUUUUGUUUAUGCGUGAGUCUUGAGAGGCUUGCAAAACUUGUUCUUUCGAUUCCUGAGGGAGUUGUAGAACGCCGAACUGCGGUUCAUCCAGUUUGUGCCUUCACGUCUAUACGGCGUGAUUGCGUGGGCUGUUCGUCGGUACGUGGAAGGGUGAUUGUCUCGGUAGUUCGUCGCGUGGACAGCCUCGCGGUGCACUGCCUCUUCACCAGGUCACGCAGCGACAAGUUAUCAAGUUCGCGAAUCCUACGAGAAGAUCGGGCCACAACGACUUGUCUCACGCUAUCCCUAGGCGUGAGCAUAUCAUCUGGUACCAAAGCCUUCGUUUCCUCGGUAGGAUUGUUCUUGAUUUUGGUAGGAUAGAGUUUAAAUACCUACUGUCCACUGAGAGCCAAAAAGAAAACCUACAGCCCAAAUUCAUAUGUGCUACUGAUUUUGUAGUUUGCUUUAUCGAGUUUUAAUCCUUUAAUAUUUGUCUAGUUGCUGAAUUUUUCUUUUCCACAUUGUUCUAGUUAUUAUCUUUGUUCUAAUCAUCAAAUUGCUUGCUGCAUGUACCCAUCCAUCCCACCCUUGAUCUGAUCAUCAUUGCUUGCUGCGUAUAUAUAAACAAAAAAAAUACCCACCCAUCCCACCUUUGUUUUCUAACCGCCACAUAUUCUCCACCGCAGUUUCUUGUUUUUGUGCUGCACCAUCCAUCUUAGUGAUCCCCUUUAGUUGAAAGUUAUGCUGCGUUUGACACAGAGGUUAAAAGAAAAGAUGUCUAUGGGUCAAAAGAAGGACUGAAAACGAGUUUUUGUUCCAAAAAAAAAGAGAAAAAAAAAGAAAAGCAAGAAAAAAAAAAGAAAAACAAAAAGAGAACUGUGUGCAGCACACCAAAAAGGGGUUUGGGCAGCAACAAGUUUUCGGUUGGUGCAAAUUGGUGAUCAUCUAUCCACUUACUACAUCUCAUUCCUUUCUUUGUGCAUCCUUUCCUUUAUAUUCAGCAACUUAGACUUCUGUUCUUGGAUUAUUAUUUGGUUUUGCAUCACUACAUUUCAGUGCAUUCCACUAACAUAUUACCCCACCAAGCUCCAC
rnacentral:lncRNA from 1 species